rnacentral:misc_RNA from 1 species
AUAUUAUGUACACGCGCGCACGUAUGAGUACAUGGGAAAAAUUUUUCUGCGAAGUAAAAUUGUUCAAUAUUAAUGAAAAGUUCUGCAACUUUCUCGCGGUUUCAAGGACGAACGGUUCCGUUUCACAAAUUCGUUUCUUAUUUUCGAAUCGAUAUUUGAUUUUUUUUGGCUCAGAUUUUUCAUGGGAUUUUAAAACUCAUGGACGGAAAUGAGGCGAAGAAAAAAGCGUUCUUUCGAAGCGAUUAUAAAUUUCGGAAUUUAUUUGAUUGCAAGCUCCAAAGAUUUUGGAGAUUUGGAAUUUUUGACGUACGCGCAGCACGUGCGUACAG